GGACUCGGAACGCCGGGUCGGAGCUCGGCAGGCGGAGAGAUCUAGUUUGAGUCAUUAAAAAGGAGAAGUCAUCAGUUUGAAAAGAGCUACAAUCAGAGCAAAAUGAAUUCUGCUAAAAUUGAAGGAACAACAAACGUCAAAUUUAGGGUGAGGUUAGGGUGGAAGAAUGGUAAAAUCACUGAUGCUUUACCAAAAGUUUAUGGGGACAAUGCACCUAAAUAAAUCAGCAGUUUAUAAAAAUAGUUAAUUUGUAAGAAAGGACAAGACGAUGCUGAAGAUGAAGCCUGCAGCAGCAGGUCAUCCACAUCAAUUUGUGAGAAAAAAAAUUUAUCUUCUUUGUGCCCUAAUUUGGAAGGACCAACGAUUAACAGCAGAAACAACAGUCAACACCAUAGACAUCACAAUUGGUUCAGCUUACAGAAUUCUGACUGAAAAAUCAAAAGUUGAGCAAACUUUCCACUUGAUGGGUGCCAAAACCAGAUCAGCUGCAAAGAACAGAGCUUUCAAUGGAAAUUUUAAACAAGUAGGCUCUAUUGGUUGCUACAAAAUUAAUUGCAGUUUUUGCCAUUGAAAGACAUGUCAAAAACCGCAAUUACUUUUGCCCCAACCAAUAGAUCAUGAAGCAUCUAUUGGGAAAGUGUAACAGGAGGUGAAAUGUGGCUUUCCAACUAUGGAGACAAAGUACAAUCGAAGUAAUGGCUCCGAAGAUGUGGAAGUGGUCCAGUCAAAGCAAAAGUGGUCUGGUCAAGAGCAAAGGUCAUGGAAAUAGUUUUUUGAGCUGCUUGAGAAAUUUUGCUUGUUGACUUUCUGGAGGGCCAAAGAAAAAUAACAUCUGCUUAUUAUGAGAGUGUUUUGAGAAAGCCAAAGCUUUAGCAGAAAAAUGCCCAGGAAAACUUCACCAGAGAGUCCUUUUCUAUCACAGCAAAGGUUCUGCUCACGCCUCUCAUCAAACGGGAAAUUUUGAGAGAGUUUCAAUGGGAAACCAGUAGGCAUUCACCCUACAGUUGGUAUUUAGCUCCUUCCAACUUCUUUUGGUUUCCUAAUGAUAAAAAAUCUGUAAAGGGUACCAUUUUUUUUCCAGUUAAUAAUGUAAAAAAGAUUGCAUUGAUGUAAAUUCCCAGGAACUCCAAUUCUUUGGGGAUGGAUAAAAUGGCUAGUAUCUAAGUGCUGUGAGCAAGAGACAAAAAUAAAUAAAUAAAUGGCUAAUAUCAUUGCCUACAAAAGUGUCAAAGUUUCUUGACCUUGGUGGAUCUUAUAAGUUUAUAUUUUUUAUCUUUUACGUCUAUUUUCCACAAACUUUUUUUUUUUUUUGAGACAGAGUCUGGCUCU
rnacentral:lncRNA from 1 species